rnacentral:rRNA from 1 species
CCUACGGGAGGCAGCAGUGGGGAAUAUUGCACAAUGGGGGAAACCCUGAUGCAGCGACGCCGCGUGAGUGAGGACGUAUUUCGGUGUGUAAAGCUCUAUCAGCAGGGAAGAAAAUGACGGUACCUGACUCAGAAGCCACGGCUAACUACGUGCCAGCAGCCGCGGUAAUACGUAGGGGGCAAGCGUUAUCCGGAUUUACUGGGUGUAAAGGGAGCGUAGACGGAUUUUCAAGUCUGAUGUGAAAAUCCGGGGCUCAACCCUGGAACUGCAGUUGAUACUGUAUGUCUAGAGUGUCGGAGAGGCAAGUGGAAUUCCUGGUGUAGCGGUGAAAUGCGUAGAUAUCAGGAAGAACACCAGUGGCGAAGGCGGCUUGCUGGACUAUGACUGACGUUGAUGCUCGAAAGCGUGGGUAGCAAACAGGAUUAGAUACCCGAGUAGUC